UAUGUAAAUACAAAACACGUGCUUGCAA
rnacentral:sRNA from 1 species